rnacentral:rRNA from 1 species
AGUGAACGCUGGCGGUAGGCCUAACACAUGCAAGUCGAACGGCAGCACAGGAGAGCUUGCUCUCUGGGUGGCGAGUGGCGGACGGGUGAGGAAUACAUCGGAAUCUGCCCAGUCGUGGGGGAUAACGUAGGGAAACUUACGCUAAUACCGCAUACGACCUUCGGGUGAAAGAGGGGGAUCGCAAGACCUCUCGCGAUUGGAUGAGCCGAUGUCGGAUUAGCUAGUUGGCGGGGUAAUGGCCCACCAAGGCGACGAUCCGUAGCUGGUCUGAGAGGAUGAUCAGCCACACUGGAACUGAGACACGGUCCAGACUCCUACGGGAGGCAGCAGUGGGGAAUAUUGGACAAUGGGCGCAAGCCUGAUACAGCCAUACCGCGUGGGUGAAGAAGGCCUUCGGGUUGUAAAGCCCUUUUGUUGGGAAAGAAAUCUUUCAGGCUAAUACCCUGGGAGGAUGACGGUACCCAAAGAAUAAGCACCGGCUAACUUCGUG